UACGAAGGGGGCUAGCGUUGUUCGGAUUUACUGGGCGUAAAGCGCACGUAGGCGGAUCGAUCAGUCGGGGGUGAAAUCCCAGAGCUCAACUCUGGAACUGCCUUUGAUACUGUCGAUCUGGAGUAUGGAAGAGGUGAGUGGAAUUCCGAGUGUAGAGGUGAAAUUCGUAGAUAUUCGGAGGAACACCAGUGGCGAAGGCGGCUCACUGGUCCAUUACUGACGCUGAGGUGCGAAAGCGUGGGGAGCAAACAGG
rnacentral:rRNA from 1 species